ACUCCUGCCUCCCAGGUCUGACGGGGACUCCGGCUCGGAGCUGGGCCCCCGAGGCCGCCAGGGAGGGGGCCGGUGAAGGUUAUACGAGAGGCUCCAUCUGUCCUUAUUGAAAGUGCUCUUAACGCAGGGACCAGCCGUCUUGCUGACGCCUGGGCCACCGAGCACAGGGACAGGACGGGGUUGCUGGAGGUGCAAGCUGGGAGAAAGCAGAGAACUGACUCCAUGCAGAGUUGGGAUUAAGAGCCCCUGGACAAGGGGCCGAGGCAGUGAAGGACGUCCAUCACUCAUCUGCCACUAUCCUCCUCACAUUUAAUCCUCACAACACCCCUGUGAGGUUUAUCCGCUUCACCUGUUGCUGGGGAACACUGCUCUCCGGGGGACUUGGGGGACGACACUGUAAACAUGACUUCCUGGCCUGAUGGUGGCAGGGCUGUGUGUGCGAGUCACUGUCCAGGGACAGCACUGAGGUAGACCACGGUGACAUCGAGGAUGCCGCUGGGAGCUGUCACUGCAGGAAGGUUGGUGGGGAGGGAAGUCAUGUCACACCCAAGCAUCAGGGGAGACCCCCUGCCAGGUCAGGACCCUGAAGUCCAGGUCAAGAAUCUUCUACCUUGCUACGGUCCCCUGUGUUACCCUCCUGUGGUGAGAAGCGUGGGUGACAUGCCUCUUCCAAGUUGGACAGCUGCCCGCCAUGACUCCAACAAAUGUGGAGAUGACAAGUUGGCCAUCUAGCUCAAGCCAAGUGGACGCAGAAGCAAGCAACCGGGAAACUGACAGGACUCACACUAACUGGGCUUCUGGCAAGGACCCCGCAGUCUGCCUGGGGUUUGCACAGGGCAGUGAUCCCAGCAGGGCAGUGAGGAGUGUCACGUAUACCACGUGGGCACACCUCAAACAACAUUCUAGAAAGAACGCCCAGGCUACAGUGCAGUGGCAUGAUCACGGCUCACUGCAGCUCCCACCUCCUGUGCUCAAGAGAUCCUCCCA
rnacentral:lncRNA from 1 species